UCUGUCUACACACACAGUUGAAAGUUUGUAU
rnacentral:piRNA from 1 species